CAGUAAACGGUGCACGUUUGGUGUGGGAGGAUUCGAUCCCUUCCGUGCCGGAGCUAACGCGUUAAACGUGCCGCCUGGGAAGUACGAUCGCAAGAUUAAAACUCAAAGAAAUUGACGGGGGCCCGCACAAGCAGUGGAGUAUGUGGCUUAAUUCGAUGCAACGCGAAGAACCUUACCUGGUCUUGACAUGCAUCUCUAAGUUGGUGAAAGCCAGCGAGUGUGUAGUAAACUAUACACAAUUUGCACAGGUGCUGCAUGGCUGUCGUCAGCUCGUGUCGUGAGAUGUCGGGUUAAGUCCCGCAACGAGCGCAACCCCUGUGAUUAGUUGCCACCGGCACAAGCCGAGCACUCUAAUCAGACUGCCCCGCAUAACUGGGGGGAGGUGGGGAUGACGUCAAGUCAGUAUGGCCCUUACGACCAGGGCUGCACACGUACUACAAUGCCCAGGACAGAAUGAACCGAAACCGCGAGGUGGAGGAAAUCCCCAAACCUGGGCUCAGUUCGGAUUGAAGGCUGCAACUCGCCUUCAUGAAGUUGGAAUUGCUAGUAAUGGCGCAUCAGCUACGGCGCCGUGAAUACGUUCCCGGGCCUUGUACACACCGCCCGUCACAU
rnacentral:rRNA from 1 species